UUGGUGUCUCCUAUAGGUGAUGUGCGUCCCACCCUGACGGUGCUGCCCCCCUCCAAUGAGGAGCUGGAGCAGGGGAAGGCCACGCUCAUGUGCCUGGCCAACAAGGGCUUCCCCUCAGGCUGGAGUCUGGCCUGGAACGUGGACGGCAGCAGCAGCAGCAGCAGCUGGGAGGAGAGCAGGAGCCCUGCGGUGCUGGAGAAGGACGCUCUCUACAGCUGGAGCAGCACCCUGAGGCUCUCUGCAGACCAGUGGAGGAAGGUGGGCUCUGUGACCUGUGAGGCCACCCAGGGCGCCCAGGCUCGAGUCACAGAAAGUCUGAGUAGAGACCAGUGUUCCCAGUAAAGACUCACUGGGACUCUGCUGCUGGUUUUACUGUGAUACUGCUCUCACUCUGCACCUUUCUCUCUCUCUUUAUUUCAUGUUUCUAAAGAAUAAAUAUUAGCUUGUUGCUUCA